UUGAAAGCCGUAACGUUAUCAUGGGCUUCAUAAAUUUUAUCUUGACAGCCAACGCAUAAUUAAUUAGAAACCAAACUAAUGCCAGUAUUCCGGAGUAUUUACUCAUCGAUCGAUAGUAUUUAUCGACCGUUGGACGAUAAAUUUUAAUUAUCGCUUUCAACAGCAAUAUAAUAAAUACAUAAUCAACGUGUUCACUAUCUAACAUUUACACUAGGCUAUCCAUGCACAAUUAGUUGGUGUCGUAAAGAAUAUGAAUUUAUCAAAAUUGAAAACUGCACUGUCAAUAGCUAAACUUGAUCAAAUUUCCUUUAACUUUCAUUUACUAUUUUAAAACAGAAAACGGAUGUUACUGAGAAGCAAAACUACUAAUACUCGGUAAUAAUUAUGACAGUCAGAGUGUUCAAUAUUUCAACCGGUCGUUAUCAAGUUACAUAACUUCAUGCAGUAGACUUGGAUUAUACAACUUAGCAGCUUGAGCCUCAGAAUUAUAUUUCCGAAAGCAAGUGUUUCUGGUAAAUGUAAGUCGUGUACAGGAUUGUAAGGAAGAUCUCAGUUGGCAGACAGGUGAGAAAGCGUCUAGACAGAAUUAGCAGCAGUUGUUAUCAAGAGCAUUCAACCAGGAUCCCAAGUGUGGAUUUAGGUACCAAAGUUUUGGUCCCAGAGGAAAAACACUCAAUGACAGGCGUAAGGGUCCACCAAGAAUAGUCAAGUUCAAUGUACACAUUAAAUGAUUGUCGAGUUAUUGGCACAGAAUGACAGCAGAGAUGGAUGAUUGACAAGUAAGCAAAAGAAUGUUAGUACUGCAGAGGACUUUAAGCAAUAAUCGACAGUAUUUAUCCACCAUUGGAUGAUGAAUUUCAGCUAUAGUUUGAAAUAGCGAGCUAAUGAAUACAAAAUUAAUGAGUUUAUCGUCUAACGAAUUCAUCAACACUAUAGAUAAGCUGUUAAGAAUUGAACUUUACCAACCAGACUCGAUUGACUUUGAUUCAGUAUUUUAUCACAGGGAAUGGAUGUUUACUGAGAAGCAAACAUAAUUAAUACUGAACAUUAACCAGACUCUACAGCAUUUCAAUCUGUUGUUAUCAAGUUAUAUAACUCCGUGGAACAGACAUGAAUCGUACAAUCUUCCAACUUCAGUCUGAGAAAUUUAUCAGUGUUGAAUAAAGAUAGAUUAAAAUAUCUUUUCAAAAGCAAGUGCUUCGGGAUUCUCUAGCCAAUGCAACUCGCGUACGUGAUUUUCAGGAAGAUCUAGGAGUAAGAGGAUAGUGUUUGACGGAUAAAAAAGAGCCAUCAUUCUACUUUGACUUUGUAAAAUGUCGUUGAUGCACAUUCCACUGUUUUUUGUUAAUUUAGAAGGAUAUAUUCACGCUGCUUUCUAAGAUUCUUGUACUAAUGGCUUACACUAGGUAAAUAAAAGAAAUAGGAAGCAGCCUGGGGGUGUAAUAAACAUUUGUCAUAGUGCAAACUAGUGCAAAGUGACAGAUUACUAAUUACAAAUGUCCAGAAGCAGAUUUAGUGCAGGUGUUUGCAAGAGGAUUGAAUCAGGGUCCACGUGUGAUAUUUCUCCGGUCAAAAAAUUGAAAAAAUAAAAAAUUCAAAUGGUUUUUGCACCAGGUAAAAGUAGUUGAUGACAGGAGUGGCCCACGUUACCAAGAAUGUCCAGUUCAACAUGUAUAUUGACUAAUUCUCUAUUCAUCCCAUUGUUUUAUUACCUGGAACGCUUGACUUGAAGCACUACUUGCCCCGAACCAACUUGAUCAGUCAUGAUGGCAGGAUAUCAGUUAGAGAAAAUAACCGAACAGAUCCUGGUAUUCGCGACACGUGUUGUUUUGAGAUUGUUGCCGUAUAAGACACUUUAGGAAUUGUAUGGCGAUCCGCUCACGGCCGCGGUCAACGCGACGACUGAUUUUCGUUUCUAGUGGUUAACUAGGCAUAGGUGAGAUCGUAUGAGGAAAAAUAACCGUUGCUCGUUAUCGUACGCGGACUUUGGUCCAAUUUGAUGUUGCAGCAAUUUCGAGGAUAUACAGAUACAAUAUGGAUGUAUCGCAGUGUCUUGUAUUGUACUGAGGGGGAAAUUAUUUUUACCGAUACACUAGGUACUCGGGUCCAAGGAAAAAACCUGUCGAUAAUUGCAUUCAUUUAUUCAUCCAAUUUAUUUGUUAUCAUUCUAACUUCAAUCUAAACGAUUUAUUUCCCUGUGUUGAUCAUGAAUAAACCGAUCGAUUUAUUAACAAUAAUUUGAAUGAGUUUUAUACCGAACAUUUAUUGAGAACAAAUAAUUUUCAAUAAUUUUUUAAAUUUCGAAAAACGAUUCGAUUAACAACAGCGUUUCGUGCUGCAGAAUUUCUCUUUUUUUCAGUUUGUAAAAUGUUUGUUAAUUACGAGUAUUCUAUAAAUUUUAUGCAUAGGCUAUAAAAAAUGCGAAAAUUCUUCCCUUAAAUUUCUCGAUUCAAUUCCGUAAUCGGUGAACUAACCCUGAGUUCCGUAAUUUUUACUCAACAUUUCUUUCCGCGAUUGUUACAAUUACUCAACUCUCAGUCUUAUCAUUCAGAGAAAAAGUAAUCAUUCAGUUGCGGUCAAUGUCUAACGACUUCAUCGUCGGACUUUGAUGCCCCGAACUGGUGAUCAUUCCUUUUCAGGAUGGAUUCCCAAAAUAAUCACUGUCAAGGAUCUCCGAUGAUAAAAUUCGUGUAAUCAUUGACGGUUUCCAUAACUCGUUCCCCUGACCUUUGAAACACCGGAGAACGGAUUUCGUUCUUUUUGGUGCGUGAAUAUUUAACGUUGAUUAAAUAUUGAACUUUGCCGGCAGAUGGAUAAUAAAAUUCAAUGAGAUUAAGAUGGAAAACUUUGCACGAUCACGGGUACGACACUUGUCUUUGAAUGGGUUUCUGUAUUGACAAUCAACAGAGUUGACCGACAUCCCGCGAUGCAGAAAAUAAUGUAUCGACGCAUCCACUUGACUCACCCGUUUAACAUCGUUAUGAUGAAGAAUGUUGCAGGGCAAUUUGACUUUGUCUCAACACCAAGACAUUGCAUAUUUUGAAAAAUGUAAAAAUACCGAAUUCAAGUUGACAUCCGAAAAUAUAUUCCUUAUAAUGACAGAAUAAAAUUUAUCUCUAAUUGA